rnacentral:rRNA from 1 species
UUCGCCCUUAGAGUUUGAUCCUGGCUCAGGACGAACGCUGGCGGCGCGCCUAACACAUGCAAGUCGAACGAGCGAGAGAGAGCUUGCUUUCUCGAGCGAGUGGCGAACGGGUGAGUAACGCGUGAGGAACCUGCCUCAAAGAGGGGGACAACAGUUGGAAACGACUGCUAAUACCGCAUAAGCCCACGGGUCGGCAUCGACCAGAGGGAAAAGGAGCAAUCCGCUUUGAGAUGGCCUCGCGUCCGAUUAGCUAGUUGGUGAGGUAAUGGCCCACCAAGGCAACGAUCGGUAGCCGGACUGAGAGGUUGAACGGCCACAUUGGGACUGAGACACGGCCCAGACUCCUACGGGAGGCAGCAGUGGGGAAUAUUGCACAAUGGGGGAAACCCUGAUGCAGCGACGCCGCGUGGAGGAAGAAGGUCUUCGGAUUGUAAACUCCUGUUGUUGGGGAAGAUAAUGACGGUACCCAACAAGGAAGUGACGGCUAACUACGUGCCAGCAGCCGCGGUAAAACGUAGGUCACAAGCGUUGUCCGGAAUUACUGGGUGUAAAGGGAGCGCAGGCGGGAAGACAAGUUGGAAGUGAAAUCUAUGGGCUCAACCCAUAAACUGCUUUCAAAACUGUUUUUCUUGAGUAGUGCAGAGGUAGGCGGAAUUCCCGGUGUAGCGGUGGAAUGCGUAGAUAUCGGGAGGAACACCAGUGGCGAAGGCGGCCUACUGGGCACCAACUGACGCUGAGGCUCGAAAGUGUGGGUAGCAAACAGGAUUAGAUACCCUGGUAGUCCACACCGUAAACGAUGAUUACUAGGUGUUGGAGGAUUGACCCCUUCAGUGCCGCAGUUAACACAAUAAGUAAUCCACCUGGGGAGUACGACCGCAAGGUUGAAACUCAAAGGAAUUGACGGGGGCCCGCACAAGCAGUGGAGUAUGUGGUUUAAUUCGACGCAACGCGAAGAACCUUACCAAGUCUUGACAUCCCUUGACAGACAUAGAAAUAUGUAAUCUCUUCGGAGCAAGGAGACAGGUGGUGCAUGGUUGUCGUCAGCUCGUGUCGUGAGAUGUUGGGUUAAGUCCCGCAACGAGCGCAACCCUUAUGGUCAGUUACUACGCAAGAGGACUCUGGCCAGACUGCCGUUGACAAAACGGAGGAAGGUGGGGAUGACGUCAAAUCAUCAUGCCCUUUAUGACUUGGGCUACACACGUGCUACAAUGGCGUAAACAAAGGGAGGCAAAGCUGUGAAGCCGAGCAAAUCUCAAAAAUAACGUCUCAGUUCGGACUGUAGUCUGCAACCCGACUACACGAAGCUGGAAUCGCUAGUAAUCGCAGAUCAGAAUGCUGCGGUGAAUACGUUCCCGGGUCUUGCACACACCGCCCGUCA